rnacentral:rRNA from 1 species
ACCCAGACUCCUACGGGAGGCAGCAGUGGGGGAUAUUGCACAAUGGGGGAAACCCUGAUCCAGCGACGCCGCGUGUAGGAAGACGGUCCUCUGGAUUGUAAACUACUGUCCCCAGGGACGAAGAUGACGGUACCUGGGGAGGAAGCUCCGACUAACUACGUGCCAGCAGCCGCGGUAAUACGUAGGGAGCGAGCGUUGUCCGGAAUUACUGGGUGUAAAGGGAGCGUAGGCGGGGAUGCAAGUUGGGUGUUAAAUCUACCGGCUCAACUGGUAGUCGCACUCAAAACUGCAGCUCUUGAGUGAAGUAGAGGCAGGCGGAAUUCCUAGUGUAGCGGUGAAAUGCGUAGAUAUUAGGAGGAACACCAGUGGCGAAGGCGGCCUGCUGGGCUUUUACUGACGCUGAGGCUCGAAAGUGUGGGGAGCAAACAGGAUUAGAUACCCGAGUACC